rnacentral:tRNA from 1 species
GAAGAUGACACACUAGUCUGCUAAAUUAGAAAUCCAGCAAUAACCCGCUGGCAUCCUC